UACGGGGGGGGCAAGCGUUGUUCGGAAUUACUGGGCGUAAAGGGCUCGUAGGCGGCCAACUAAGUCGGAUGUGAAAUCCCCAGGCUUAACCUGGGAACUGCAUCCGAUACUGGAUGGCUUGAAUCCGGGAGAGGGAUGCAGAAUUCCAGGUGUAGCGGUGAAAUGCGUAGAUAUCUGGAGGAAUACCGGCGGCGAAGGCGGCAUCCUGGACCAACACUGACGCUGAGUGAGCGAAAGCCAGGGGAGCAAACAGG
rnacentral:rRNA from 1 species